rnacentral:misc_RNA from 1 species
CUGCUUUGCUUCUUUCUGCAUACCUGAGAUUUGUUUACUAUCUACCUUCGUCAGUAUCUACUAAUGUAAGUGAUGCAAUAUUGGUUUGCCAUGAUAUGUGGAUGCAUAAUUUAUAUCGCUCAAAUAUGUCAAUACAGAUGUCUUAAACAUUGAUCUUCUAUUUUUGUUAUUCCUUCUUGAGGGUGUAAGAGUAAAGAUCUGUUUGGAUGGGCUGAGGGAAG